ensembl:rRNA 5S_rRNA 5S ribosomal RNA
GCCUACGGCCAUACCACCCUGAACACACCCAAUCUCAUCUGAUCUCGGAAGCUAAGCAGGGUUGGGCCUGGUUAGUACUUGGAAGGGAAACUGGAGUUUACAGGAAACAGGACACGUGGCCA